UUUACGUCCAGCUGCUUCCGGGCGUCACUUCCGGUGCCUUUGCAGUCGCCAAAGUCACGCUUGCCAUACAAUACACGGGGCGCGCGUGCGGCUUCGAAAAACAACGCUUCCCUUUCUGGACACCAGACGAACGGCGCAUCUUCGACCACAGUGAUUGAGGUCACCGCCGUUCCUUCACGAGCUUCCGUUUACAGAGCAUCAGGGGUGAGAGCUCAGUUCGGUUACUGUGGAGUCCGGUCUACGCAUUCAGAGAGGGAAGCUGCCACAUCGGCGCGGUUUCACCGUAGCGCUGAACAAAUGGAUUGGAACGCAGGCGGCGGCGGCGGCGCCGGAGGCCCGUGAGCCCGUGAGCACGCGAGCGCGGCCGCAGGCAGUCAGCACUUUGUUAUAAUGGGAAUCUCAGUCUUGUCUUGUUUGCCUCGGAGCCGAACAACUCCAGUGCUGCUCGCGUGUGCUCUAAUUACAGACGAGAUUAGAGCGGGCAAAUUAAACCGCUACCAGCCACUGUUUGUAAUUGCCACAAGCAAAUGUUUGUAAUUAUGAACAGAUUGCUUUACUAUCGAUAAUUAAA
rnacentral:lncRNA from 1 species